rnacentral:lncRNA from 1 species
CGCUGCGCCAUGAGCAAAGUCUGCGGCCCCUCACUCGGCGCGGCUCCGGGAACACUGGGGCGGGGGUGGGUGAUUCAGUCCCCCACCCCCGGGUGUCCUGACUCCCUGGUGGCCCUGGGCUGACAGCUCCACACCUUGGGAGGCCGCACCCCCACCUGCCGCAUUUCCUCGUUCUGAGUCACCCUUGCUCAGAACGCUUGACUUUGGGACUUCCUGUCCGCACUCGCGGCCCCUAACCUGCCCCGGGAGCCCGGGAGUGCGGCUUGGGAAGGAGGGAAAGGAGUGUGUGAGCAGGGAUUGGCCCGAACCUAUCUCCACGCUCUCCCCCGGGACUGGAGGUGAAGGGGGGCGUGGAGAAAAUCUCAGGGAACAGGGGCUUCGACAGGGGGCUCCCGCCCGCCCGAGCCCCCUCCCCAAAAUGCGAGGCCUGCACAGUAUGCCUUCUCCGCAAAACCUCGGCAAGCGGGUUAGUGAAUUCAGGUCACUAAGAAGCUGAGCCCGCGGAAAGCUGCCCAAACACCCCCUUCUCUAGGGGACUCCCCACGCCCCCCGCCGGGACGCGUUCCCGAAGUCGCCGCCUGGACUGCAACCGCGUGGCCUGCGCCGCGUCCUCUUCUCCGCAGCCUCCGAGGCCCGUGCGACCAAGCUGAAACCGCUUAUUCUCCGGAGCCCCUAUGACCCCGGGUGGGGGCCAGGGCUCGCCUCGAUCGCAGCCCGUGCGCCCUCCGGACUCCAGUUCGCCGGGACUGGGCGACACCAGAAGCGGCUAGUGUGAGUGAAACAAACGGGAAAUUUGCUCUGGCCCGCCUGCCCAGCCACCCACGGCUGCCUGUUGGCCAAUCACCAUUUGACCAGUCCAGGAAGAGCAACUGUGGCAGGCCUGAUUUCCUGGGAGGCCCCAGACUCCCUUUGCCUACCUCUUCCUCUCUGACCCCAUCCUCGCUUUGAUGCCCGGGACCUGCUACCCAGAGUCUUUCCCGCUCUAGGUGACUGGGUGCUAAGGAGGAAAGUUCUUCAGUGAGUCUUAUAAAGCGGCACCAAAACGCGGUAUUUAUAGUGACAUAAUCAGCCCUAAUGGAGAUGGAAUUACCCCAUAAAGGCCCCAAGGAGCCCUCAGGGCCUCAGCGCCACUGCAGCAGACAAGGCUCCUGUACAGGCAGGUGGAGCCCGAGUGAGUGUGUGUUUGUGUGUGACUGCCUCUCCUGCCAAUCCCUGCCUCCGGCCCACCAGCCUGCUUAGGGGCCCACCUUUGCUAGGACUUAGCUGGGGCUGGGUACUGGGGGCAAGGAGAUGACAAAGGUGAAUGCUGAAGCCAUGGCCUCACUUACCCCACCUUUGAUCUGUGCCUGCCUUUGGCCAAGAGCAUCAGAAAAAAAAUAAUGCGGCCUGGGCAAUACAGUGAGACCCCAUCUCUACAAAAGAAAAAAGAAAAAAAAUUAGCUGGGCAUGGUGGUGAGCACCCGUGGCCUCAGCUACUCGGGCGGCUGAGGAAGGAGGAUUGCUUGAGCCUAGGAGGUCAAGGCUGCAAUGAGCCGUGAUUGCACCACUGCACUCCAGCCUAGGCAACCAAGUGAGACCCUGUUUCAAAACAAAAUUUUUUUAAAAAAAGAAAAGCAAAGAAAAAAACUGUAGCCAAUACUUAUGAAGCACUACUAUGUGCCGGGCCCAGUUCUAGGCACUUAUCUGUACUGAUCCACUUAGUUCUCAUGACACCUUCAGGGAGGUGGCCACUGCUCCUGCCCACAUUUUGCAGAAGAGCAAAUUUGGAAGUAAAAUUUGGAGCUGGCAUUCUGGCCCAGACAGGCUAGAUCCAGCGCGCACUCUCAUGGGUACCUGCCUCAACCAUUGCCUCUGAAUUCCACUGAACCUGGAGAGCAGUGCCCCGUCCUGGAAUGUGCCAACUCUCCGCAGCUGGGAUCUUUAAGGUCAGUCUAAUUACUACCUCUUGGGUGAAACCCCCAGGGAUCAGGCCCCCCCUAGAGCCCCAGGGGCCUCCAUGCUACAUGCCUACCAGCACCCUGCUCUCAACCAACUGAACUCUUUUUUGUUUUUCAAAGCCUCUGAACUAUCUUCUCAACUAGACUGUAAAUCCCUCAGAGGCAGGGUAUGAAUCCAGCAACAGGUAGAACAGUUCCCCACACAUUCUGCUCAAUAGAUGCUAAUUUUUUUUUUUUUUUUUUUUUUGAGACAGAGUCUUGCUCUGUCCCCCAGGCUGGAGUGCAGUGGCGCAAUCUCAGCUCACUGCAACCUCCACCUCCCGGGUUCAAGUGAUUCUCCUGCCUCAGCCUCCUGAGUAUCUGGGAUUACAGGUGCACGCCACCACACCUGGCUAAUUUUUGUAUUUUUAGUAGAGACAGGGUUUCACCAUGUUGGUCAGGCUGGUCUUGAACUCCUGACCUCAUGAUCCGCCCUCCUCGGCCUCCUAAAGUGCUGGGAUUACAGGCGUAAGCCACUGUGCUUGGCCUUAGAUGCUCACAUUUGAUGGUGACAUUCUAAAUUAGUUUCCUCCAUUCAUUUCCUUUUUUUUUAGACGGAGUCUUGCUCUGUCACCGAGGCUGGAAUGCA